AGAUUAAUUCCUUCUGUUAGGCUCAGCUAUGAACAUAAUCUGCCAAAACCCAUCCCAGAAAUUAGACGACACCAAGAUUUGAGAAAUCUUCCUGGGACUCGCUGCAGACAUGGGCUGCGGGCCGUCCGCUGACACUGUUGCAAGAGAAUUCAGAGAUGGGAAUGACAGUGACAGCAGACCUCCGACUCAGAUGACUCAUGUAACCCAUGAUACAGUAGUGGAUGACGUGCAGGAAGAAGUACACAGGUAA